CACCGCGGUUAUACGAGAGGCCCCAGUUGAUAAAUGCGGCGUAAAGAGUGGUUAGGGGACACACCCGACUAAAGCCGAAGACCCCCUAGGCCGUUAUACGCAUCUGGGGGCACGAAAACCAGUCACGAAAGUAGCUUUACUCAAACCCGCCCGACCCCACGACAGCUGAGAUA
rnacentral:rRNA from 1 species